rfam:Nematostella vectensis strain CH2 x CH6 NEMVEscaffold_221_Cont19514, whole genome shotgun sequence.
GCUCCUGUGGCACAGUCGGUUAGCGCCUCGUACUUAUAGGCAGAACUGGCGUGUCCCGUGGGCGCCAUGAAAUGCAAAGGUCGAGAGUCCGAUCCUCUCCAGGAGCA